GUCAGUGCUACAAAGUUACACAGCAAAGGGCAUGGAGACAGGGAUGGAAGAAGUGAACUAUUUUUCCGAUCUAUCACACUAAUGAUGUUUGGGUCUGGUCUUGGUGCAAGAAAGCAGAGACAUUUCAAGGUGAGGUUGUUACUCAGCAAGGGCUUGCCACCCUAUAUGCACAGAAACCAAUACAAUGGCAUACUGGUCUUUGAAAGAAGUUUAUCGCACCAUGGAUUGGCAAGGAAACAGAAGGACCGGCUCUCAAUUAUGUCGCCACCAUCCAGAGUAUAAGGAUCAGGACUGAUCAGAAGCUCAUUCCUAGACAUUUGCUACUGUUUGGAGAUCUGAAGAGGGCUAAAUUCCUGAUCUAACAAGAGAGUUCCGUCUUCGAGUUUCCCCUUGGUGAGAGUCGCUAUCUGUG
rnacentral:lncRNA from 1 species